GGUGACUCAGUGGUAGAGCGCUUGCCUUACAUGCAGGAGGCCCUGGGUUCAAUUCCCAGCACCA
rnacentral:tRNA from 1 species